CCCGGCCGGAACGCCGCACU
rnacentral:miRNA from 1 species